UGGGGAAUAUUGGACAAUGGGGGCAACCCUGAUCCAGCAAUGCCGCGUGUGUGAAGAAGGCCUUCGGGUUGUAAAGCACUUUUAUCGGGAAAGAAACACUGUCGGCUAAUACCCGGCGGCACUGACGGUAGCCGAUGAAUAAGCACCGGCUACCUCUGUGCCAGCAGCCGCGGUAAUACGGAGGGUGCAAGCGUUCAUCGGAAUUACUGGGCGUAAAGCGUGCGUAGGUGGUUCGUUAAGUCCGUUGUGAAAGCCCCGAGCUCAACUUGGGAAUUGCAGUGGAUACUGGCGAGCUGGAGUGCGGUAGAGGAAGGUGGAAUUCCCGGUGUAGCGGUGAAAUGCGUAGAGAUCGGGAGGAACACCAGUGGCGAAGGCGGCCUUCUGGUCCAGCACUGACACUCAAGCACGAAAGCGUGGGGAGCAAAC
rnacentral:rRNA from 1 species